CUAGCCGAAUUCCUCAGUCUGGAAACAACCGCGCAGCAGAGCGGACGUGUGAGAAUCGCGCUCAGCAGAUUUCGAGUACAGGGUUCUCUACCUCCUGGAUCCUGCGCUCUGGGUUCGCUUCCUGGUGCUACUCGAGUUUCAGGACAAGCGCUCCGUAGUUUCUGCGCUCCAGGUCCGCUACCUGGUGAAACUCGACUUCAGGGACAAGUGCUCCGUAGUUUCGGCGCUCCAGGCCCGCUACCUGGUGAAACUCGACUUUGGGGCAAGAGGUGGACGAGGAGGAGAAGGAGGAAGAGGACGAGGAAGACGAGGAUUUCUGCACAUUACCACCGCUAACCAUCUCGGGUUAGCGGUGGUCGUUGGAGGUGGACUUGGAGGAGGACGAGGAAGACGGGGAGAACAAGGUGGACGAGGAGGACAAGGAUUUGUGCUCGUAUUCGAGGUAUAACCCGAGAUGGUUAGCGGUGGUCGUUCAAGGUGGCUGGGGGUUGUUUCGGGUGAUCGAGGUGGACGAGGAGGAGAACGAGGAAGACGAGGCGAACAAGGUAGAUGAGGAUGACGAGGAUUUGUGCACCGUACAACCCGAGGUAGUUAUCGGUGGUUGUUCGAGGUGGUUGGCGAUUGUUGGAGGUGGU